rfam:Marchantia polymorpha subsp. polymorpha scaffold1862, whole genome shotgun sequence.
CGACCGUGUGUUCAGCACAUAGCGAACUAUUCUCUCGCCUUUUACUAAAGAAUACCGUGCGCGGGACACAGAAGCGGUCUAACACAAUCUUUGGAACGCCGCUAUAUUGGGGCAC